UACGGAGGGUGCGAGCGUUGUCCGGAAUCAUUGGGCGUAAAGGGCGCGUAGGUGGCCCGCCAAGCGUGCGGUGAAAGCUCGGGGCUCAACCCCGAGUCGGCCGUGCGAACUGGUGGGCUCGAGCACUGUAGAGGCAGGCGGAAUUCCGGGUGUAGCGGUGGAAUGCGUAGAGAUCCGGAAGAACACCGGUGGCGAAGGCGGCCUGCUGGGCAGUAGCUGACACUGAGGCGCGACAGCGUGGGGAGCAAACAGG
rnacentral:rRNA from 1 species